rnacentral:rRNA from 1 species
UACGGAGGAUGCAAGCGUUAUCCGGAAUGAUUGGGCGUAAAGCGUCCGCAGGUGGCAAUGUAAGUCUGCUGUCAAAGCGUCUGGCUCAACCAGAUAAAGGCAGUGGAAACUACAUAGCUAGAGUAAGGUAGGGGUAGAGGGAAUUCCUGGUGUAGCGGUGAAAUACGUAGAGAUCAGGAAGAACAUCGGUGGCGAAAGCGCUCUGCUGGACUGCAACUGACACUCAGGGACGAAAGCUAGGGGAGCGAAUGGG